rnacentral:rRNA from 1 species
GACGAACGCUGGCGGCGUGCUUAACACAUGCAAGUCGAGCGGUAAGGCCCUUUCGGGGGUACGACGAGCGGCGAACGGGUGAGUAACACGUGGGUGACCUGCCCUCCAGCUCUGGGAGUAAGCCUGGGAAACUCGGUCUAAUACUGGAUAUGACUCCACGGUGCAUGUCGUGGGGUGGAAAGCCUUGUGCGGCUGAGGAUGGGCCCGCGGCCUAUCAGCUUGUUGGUGGGGUGAUGGCCUACCAAGGCGACGACGGGUAGCCGGCCUGAGAGGGCGACCGGCCACAUUGGGACUGAGACACGGCCCAGACUCCUACGGGAGGCAGCAGUGGGGAAUCUUGCGCAAUGGGCGAAAGCCUGACGCAGCGACGCCGCGUGAGGGAUGACGGCCU